rnacentral:rRNA from 1 species
UGCCAGCCGCCGCGGUAAUACGGAGGGUGCAAGCGUUGUUCGGAAUUAUUGGGCGUAAAGGGCUCGUAGGCGGCCUGCCAAGUCCCACGUGAAAGUCCACGGCUCAACCGUGGAAGUGCAUUUGAAACUGGGAGGCUUGAGUAUUGGAGGGGGUGGUGGAAUUCCCGGUGUAGAGGUGAAAUUCGUAGAUAUCGGGAGGAAUACCGGUGGCGAAGGCGACCACCUGGCCAAAUACUGACGCUGAGGUGCGAAAGCGUGGGGAGCGAACAGGAUUAGAUA